GAUGAACGCUGGCGGCGUGCCUAAUACAUGCAAGUCGAGCGAACAGACGAGGAGCUUGCUCCUCUGACGUUAGCGGCGGACGGGUGAGUAACACGUGGAUAACCUACCUAUAAGACUGGGAUAACUUCGGGAAACCGGAGCUAAUACCGGAUAAUAUAUUGAACCGCAUGGAUCAAUAGUGAAAGACGGCUUUGCUGUCACUUAUAGAUGGAUCCGCGCCGCAUUAGCUAGUUGGUAAGGUAACGGCUUACCAAGGCAACGAUGCGUAGCCGACCUGAGAGGGUGAUCGGCCACACUGGAACUGAGACACGGUCCAGACUCCUACGGGAGGCAGCAGUAGGGAAUCUUCCGCAAUGGGCGAAAGCCUGACGGAGCAACGCCGCGUGAGUGAUGAAGGUCUUCGGAUCGUAAAACUCUGUUAUUAGGGAAGAACAAAUGUGUAAGUAACUAUGCACGUCUUGACGGUACCUAAUCAGAAAGCCACGGCUAACUACGUG
rnacentral:rRNA from 1 species